rnacentral:rRNA from 1 species
GACGAACGCUGGCGGCGUGCUUAACACAUGCAAGUCGAACGGAAAGGCCCUGCUUUUGUGGGGUGCUCGAGUGGCGAACGGGUGAGUAACACGUGAGUAACCUGCCCUUGACUUUGGGAUAACUUCAGGAAACUGGGGCUAAUACCGGAUAGGAGCUCCUGCUGCAUGGUGGGGGUUGGAAAGUUUCGGCGGUUGGGGAUGGACUCGCGGCUUAUCAGCUUGUUGGUGGGGUAGUGGCUUACCAAGGCUUUGACGGGUAGCCGGCCUGAGAGGGUGACCGGCCAAAUUGGGAAUGGGAUACGGCCCAGACCCCUACGGGGGGCAGGGGUGGGGAAUUUUGCACAAUGGGCGGAAGCCUGAUGCAGCAACGCCGGGGGGGGGAUGACGGCCUUGGGGUUGAAAACCGCUUUCGCCUGUGACGAAGGGUGAGUGACGGUAAUGGGUAAAGAAGCACCGGCUAACUACGU